rnacentral:rRNA from 1 species
UACGUAGGGACCUAGCGUUGUCCGGAAUUAUUGGGCGUAAAGCGCGUGUAGGCGGCUUGCCAAGUCCGGUGUGAAAUGUCGGGGCUCAACCCCGGAACUGCACUGGAAACUGGCUUGCUAGAGUCCGGAAGAGGGGACUGGAAUUCCUGGUGUAGCGGUGAAAUGCGCAGAUAUCAGGAAGAACACCCGUGGCGAAGGCGGGUCCCUGGGCUGAUACUGACGCUGAUGCGCGAAAGCCAGGGGAGCAAAC